AUGAACGCUGGCGGCGUGCCUAAUACAUGCAAGUCGAGCGAACAGACGAGGAGCUUGCUCCUCUGACGUUAGCGGCGGACGGGUGAGUAACACGUGGAUAACCUACCUAUAAGACUGGGAUAACUUCGGGAAACCGGAGCUAAUACCGGAUAAUAUAUUGAACCGCAUGGUUCAAUAGUUAAAGACGGUUUUGCUGUCACUUAUAGAUGGAUCCGCGCCGCAUUAGCUAGUUGGUAAGGUAACGGCUUACCAAGGCAACGAUGCGUAGCCGACCUGAGAGGGUGAUCGGCCACGCUGGAACUGAGACACGGUCCAGACUCCUACGGGAGGCAGCAGUAGGGAAUCUUCCGCAAUGGGCGAAAGCCUGACGGAGCAACGCCGCGUGAGUGAUGAAGGUCUUCGGAUCGUAAAACUCUGUUAUUAGGGAAGAACAAAUGUGUAAGUAACUAUGCACGUCUUGACGGUACCUAAUCAGAAAGCCACGGCUAACUACGUG
rnacentral:rRNA from 1 species